CAUUGCAAAAUUCAGAGAAGUAAAAUUUUUGAAGUGUUGAGGCUAUUUUUAGCACCCGCCAAAGCGGUGUGUUGUUCACCUCAAUUCCCGGGUGGAAGUGCGAGCUGAGGAGAACCUGAUUGACUGCUGGGAUUUCGGCCAGGUACCAGGCAGUGUUCUAGACAGUGUCACGUUGUAAGGUCUAUAUUGGAGGACCGUGGCCUAUCGGAGAACACAGACAAGGCAUGUAAGGGCACCAAAACUAAGGUUGGUGUGAAGAUGCAAUGUUUUUUUUAAAAAGGACAUUCAAGCACAGAUGCCAUUCAGCCUCCAUUAUUUUAAGCGAGGCCCACUCUAGAAAGGAGGACAUUGAAAUGACUCAGUCACUGAAGCGUGAAAUGUGAACAGCAAGGAGGAAGGACAUCAGCCAAUGUCCGUCUGGAGGAUAUGCAAAAUUCUUCCUGUCUGGAGACCAUGGCGGGGCUUCUGAUGCCAAAAUAACAACAGCUGGUUUAGUAUAUGGAGCUGAUCAGCCUUUCUCCUUCCAGAGAGAGGCUUCCAGCU